AUACGGAAGGUCCGGGCGUUAUCCGGAUUUAUUGGGUUUAAAGGGAGCGCAGGCGGAGAUGCAAGCGUGACGUCAAAUUUCGGGGCUCAACCCCGUCUCGCGUCGCGAACUGCGUCCCUUGGUUGCGGGAAGGGGAGGCGGAACUCGCGGUGUAGCGGGGAAAUGCAUAGAUAUCACGAAGAACUCCGAUCGCGAAGGCAGCCUUCCGGCCCGUCAACGACGCUCAUGCUCGAAGGUGCGGGUAUCAAACAGGAUUAGAUACCCUGGUAGUCCGCACAGUAAACGAUGGACACCCGCGGUUUGGCCUGUAUGGCUGAGCCGCCAAGCGAAAGCGUUAAGUGUCCCACCUGGGGAGUACGCCGGCAACGGUGAAACUCAAAUGAAUUGGCGGGG
rnacentral:rRNA from 1 species